CCCUGUGCCCAGCACAUAGUUAGUGCUCCAGAUGAUGGGAGACUCAAUGGAGAGACACGUGAGUGGAUGGAUGUUUUGCUGAAGGCAUCCAAUGUGGCAGAACCGGCAGCAGCAAACUGAUUCUGUCUGGAAUUUGGAAGCCAGGGAGGAACAGCCUCGAAUGGACAGGAUGCAGAGAUUCAGAGAGUCUAAGCAACUUUUCUAAAUCAUCUAGCUGGAAUUCAGUAACUGAGCCAGGAUCUACCCCAGGUCUGUCUGACUCCAAAGCCUGUGUCUUCCAGCACACACUGCUGCUGCCUGGGGAAUGUGGAUAUGAUGUCUGGAGCUCUAGCAACCAUAUCAGACCACAAGGAUGAAUGUACACCCCAGGAAUGGAAGAGAGGAAAGCCAGAAAAAGACUCGGUCCCUGAUGGCUGAAGAGCUACCAUACCUGCCCCUAGAUCUUCUAUUUCUGAUCAUCUUCUAUGCAAGGCCUGGAAUGUAAUCAUGGAUAGCCAUGGAUGAUCAGCUUUCAUCAUGUGGGCAUGGAACAAGAUGGAAGGAAGCUGGGGCCCUGAGUGACCUGUGGAGCAGAGGCCUUUGCCCACCCUGGGCUGCCUGAUUUCCCCUGGACUAUCAUGAGACAGAAGAAAAAGCUUCUAUCUUAUUUGAACCACUGUGUUUUGGGAACCUUGGACUAGAGCAGCCUAGCCUUCAUACACUAACAAGGUGUAUGUGUCUGCUCUUUGUUGCUUUUGUAGAUGGUUGUGUUAUAAGCCUGAAUGCAGAAGUUGUUCCCCAGACUACUGGAUUUGCUGCCUUUUAAAACAGGUUUAUUGAACUAUAAUUGACAUACAAUGAACUGCAUAUAGGUAAAGUGUACAAUUUGAUAAGUACACUUUUUGAGCAAAUCCACCCUUUGUUCUGGAAGAAGACACUCUAUAGUCUCAGGCUGUUUCUUUACCAACAUCAACAAGCUAGUCUUAAACAGAGGAACCUCAGUGCCUCACUUUCAAGACAAUCAAGAUUAUUUCCCAACAUUCCACUAGUAGAGGGUCAGAAACAGAGUUAAAAGUUCUCAGACUAGAGGUAGAAUUGAAACCCCAGCUGAGAAGUAUCAAGGUGCCCUCCUUCCCCAAAGCUACAUAUUCUUGUGUCAGGAUCUUACCAGGAAAUGGAAGGCACAUUUACACAGGGCAGCCCAAGAGACUGUUUCAAAGGAAACCAGCAAGAUGUGACAAAGCACCCCAAGACUAGCGACACUGGGAGACCUUCUCACUUGACUUAAAAGGCUGGGGCAGGAGAGUUACAGGACCCAGUAUUAGCUGUAGCCAAAGCCUGGGCAGGGCCACCUAACAUGAGCUGCACCCUUCUGUAGAGCAGCACAGACCUUGUGCAUCUGAGGCCCAGCAGGAUGGGGCCUUGCUCAUCCUUCCCUUGCAGUUCUUGCUAAUGCUUCCUGUUGCCUGAACCCAGCUGGAAGCCAGAGGGCAAGGGAAAUCAAUUGAGACAGAUAAUGGAGGUAAUCCCCUGGGCACAGGGCAGCAUGGCAGAGGUAAGGAGUCUGUCUAGAGCCACAAAGGAAGAGGACUGAGUCCAGAGGUGAAAGCAGUCACGUAUCCCCAAAGACACCUGCUACACAUUUGGGCUUUGAUUUAUCAAUGAGAAGGCUUGAGGGACAGUGGGAAAAAUGAUGAGGAGUCAUUAGGUCCUUGUGGAAAUGGUGCCCUUGAAGGAUGAGCCUGUAAUCACUAGGUACACGUGGGUGGAUGAAUGCUGGUGAAACAGGUGGAGGGAAUGAAAGGACAGAGGCAGCACGAGAACACUGUAAGCAGAGCAGAAGUCCAUGCAAAAGCCAGAGAUGUGAGACAGCACGGGUACAUAUAGGGACCCGCAGGUGGUCUGGAGUGGCUUUGCUGUGGGUUGUGAUGAGAUAUCCACUGUGUUGGAGCUCUGGAACAAAAAGGAGGUCAUCUAAGCUGGUUGCUUCUGUUUUUUUCUUUUCUUUUUUUUCCGGAUGCAUUUCAAUUAGGUGAGGGGUACCAGGCAGAAACCCCUCCUGAAUAUAAACCCUCUGUCUUAUUGUACCAGUUAAAGAUGAACGAUGGCUC
rnacentral:lncRNA from 1 species